rnacentral:rRNA from 1 species
UGUAGUUUAGAGAAAGGUUAUCCGCGCCGGACCGUGUACAAGUCCCUUGGAACAGGGCGUCAUAGAGGGUGAGAAUCCCGUCUUUGACACGGACUACCAGUGCUUUGUGAUGCGCUCUCGAAGAGUCGAGUUGUUUGGGAAUGCAGCUCAAAAUGGGUGGUAAAUUCCAUCUAAAGCUAAAUAUUGGCGAGAGACCGAUAGCGAACAAGUACCGUGAGGGAAAGAUGAAAAGCACUUUGGAAAGAGAGUUAAACAGUACGUGAAAUUGUUGAAAGGGAAACGCUUGAAGUCAGUCGCGUCGUCCGGGACUCAGCCUUGCUUCUGCUGGGUGUACUUCCCGGAUGACGGGCCAGCAUCAAUUUUGACCGUUGGAAAAAGGCUGGAGGAAUGUGGCACCUCCGGGUGUGUUAUAGCCCUCUGGUCGUAUACAGCGGUUGGGAUCGAGGAACGCAGCACGCCUCAAGGCCGGGGUUCGCCCACGUUCGUGCUUAGGAUGCUGGCAUAAUGGCUUUAAA